AAUAGAUACCCGGGUAGUCCACGACCGUAAACGAUGAGUGCUAAGUGUUAGAGGGUUUCCGCCCUUUAGUGCUGAAGUUAACGCAUUAAGCACUCCGCCUGGGGAGUACGGCCGCAAGGCUGAAACUCAAAGGAAUUGACGGGGGCCCGCACAAGCGGUGGAGCAUGUGGUUUAAUUCGAAGCAACGCGAAGAACCUUACCAGGUCUUGACAUCCUCUGACAACCCUAGAGAUAGGGCUUCUCCUUCGGGAGCAGAGUGACAGGUGGUGCAUGGUUGUCGUCAGCUCGUGUCGUGAGAUGUUGGGUUAAGUCCCGCAACGAGCGCAACCCUUGAUCUUAGUUGCCAUCAUUAAGUUGGGCACUCUAAGGUGACUGCCGGUGACAAACCGGAGGAAGGUGGGGAUGACGUCAAAUCAUCAUGCCCCUUAUGACCUGGGCUACACACGUGCUACAAUGGACGGUACAAAGAGCUGCAAGACCGCGAGGUGGAGCUAAUCUCAUAAAACCGUUCUCAGUUCGGAUUGUAGGCUG
rnacentral:rRNA from 1 species